AAGUUGGGAGGUCUGUUAGGAAUUCUCUGUGCUUCGGACACCAUUUUGGUGUUUCGUGCCCAGUCGUAUCGAGCAUUCAUAGUAGAAACAAAGUAUACAAAAUACUCGAUUCUUACUAAUUAUAAGUCGAAGUUCGUGAAUUAUCGUGGUUAGAAUUUGAAACCGCCUCUGUUAAAAUCAAUACAAUUGAUAAUUUACUGUUUAUUCACUGUUAUAAUUGACUGCUAAUAUACGAUAUGUUCUCGUCAAUCCAAAAAUUUAAGAUAGCUUCGAGUGCAAAGGGUUAAGAAGACGGCGAGGAAAACGGAGAGGGAAAACGCGAACCUCGACUUCCAGUUCCGGCAAACGUGCCACGUGAAUCGAGCAAUUCUCGAAUUCCCGCAGCUCUUGAAAUUCGAAGAGGAAUUGAACGGUUUCGCGAUCGGUCCAUCCUACCCAAUUGGUGGCAGUCGCCGUGGAGGACAAAAUCUCGGAGAGCUCGCCUAAAAUUCCAUCCGUCAGCUGGCCCAAACCGUUCACUAGCGAUGAGUCGGGUCCGGGUUCCUUAUCACCGUCGUACGACGAAUCUUCAACGUUGCAUCCACCAGGUCCUUCUCGCGUUCCACGCGGAGCGACGUACCUGACAACGUACUCUGCCAACGUGUGUUACAAUACAUUAGAUUAGGCCCGAUUAGAUCGAUUAUUUAUAAAUUUGCAAUUUAAUAUUUUAUAUAAAUUACGCAAACUCUAAUAUUAGAAAUCUUCAAAUUUCAUCCAUAAA